AAUAUAAAUAUAGUACACAACGGGUAAAGACUUGAAGGGUAUCUUGAGGGUAUAGUUGUAUAGUCAUCAGUGGAGUUGUGUUUGUUACAAGAUGUUAACCAGAUUUGUUUUCUACUGUUGUCUAUUCUUACAAUUUAUAUCAUUUAAAAUCACAAUGGCUAAAGUUAGUACAGCUUGCUAUGGUUUACCAGGUUUAGGUUGUAAUGACCAUAAACUGAUCUGUCCAGAACGAUUGGUUAUAUCAAUAACUAAUAUAACGUUUGGAUAUAGACAAGGAUGUAGUGUUGUUGGUCUAUCUAACUGUGCUGAUACAACAUGUUGUAGAGCAGAGACUGGAGAUUGUUUUACACCUUACAACCCAACGCUUCUAUCAUCAGUACAACAAACAUGUAGUGGCGGAUCAACUUGUACUCUUAAUAUUAUUAAUGGUUUGGCUGAAAGCUCUUCAUAUUGUGAUCUUACUAGUACAGCUAUAUUUCCUUCUUACAGCAAGAUAGAAUAUCAGU